UUGGUGGCUCAGUGGUUAGAGCAUGGGGAUUGUUAAUUACAGGUCGUGAGUUUGAUUCUCAUCCAA
rnacentral:tRNA from 1 species